AUCGAACGCUGGCGGCAGGCUUAACACAUGCAAGUCGAGCGGGGUGAUGGUGCUUGCACUAUCACUUAGCGGCGGACGGGUGAGUAAUGCUUAGGAAUCUGCCUAUUAGUGGGGGACAACAUCUCGAAAGGGAUGCUAAUACCGCAUACGUCCUACGGGAGAAAGCAGGGGAUCACUUGUGACCUUGCGCUAAUAGAUGAGCCUAAGUCGGAUUAGCUAGUUGGUGGGGUAAAGGCCUACCAAGGCGACGAUCUGUAGCGGGUCUGAGAGGAUGAUCCGCCACACUGGGACUGAAGCACGGCCCAGACUACUACGGGAGGCAGCAGUGGGGAAUAUUGGACAAUGGGGGGGACCCUGAUCCAGCCAUGCCGCGUGUGUGAAGAAGGCCUUAUGGUUGUAAAGCACUUUAAGCGAGGAGGAGGCUCUUUUGGUUAAUACCCAUGAUGAGUGGACGUUACUCGCAGAAUAAGCACCGGCUAACUCUGUGCCAGCCGCCGCCGUAA
rnacentral:rRNA from 1 species